UGGCCAAAGAAGAAAGCAUACUUCUCCUCA
rnacentral:piRNA from 1 species